GAUAGAUCUGCAUAUGAUUUACGUGCCCAUUCGGAAAAAAGUUCUGUUGCUCUUGUGGCUCAAGAGAAAUUCUCCGAACCAAGAGAAGUAGAGAAACUGGUCAUAACACCAAUCAAGAAGGAGCUUGGACUGGCAUUCAAGGGGAACCAAAAAAUGGUGACCGAAGCCUUGGAGGCAAUGGAAGAAAAGGUGGCUAUGGAGAUGAAGGCUGAUCUGGAAUCCAAGGGGGAGGUGGAGUUUCAUGUAUGUACCCUCGGGAAGAAUGUCUCCAUUAAGAAAAACAUGGUCUCUAUUUCCAAGGAAAUAAAAAAAGAGCACCAGAGAGUGUUUACACCUUCUGUGAUUGAGCCCUCGUUUGGAAUCGGGCGGAUAAUAUAUUGUCUUUAUGAGCAUUCAUUCUACACAAGGCCAAGUAAAGCUGGGGACGAGCAGCUAAAUGUCUUCAGCUUCCCACCCCUUGUGGCUCCCAUCAAAUGCACUGUUUUUCCACUGGUUCAGAAUCAAAAGUAUGAAGAAGUAGCUAAGUUACUCUCAAAGUCUUUGACUGCUGCUGGAAUCUCACAUAAGAUUGAUAUAACAGGUACUUCGAUAGGGAAAAGAUACGCAAGAACAGAUGAACUUGGUGUUCCCUUUGCCAUCACUGUCGAUUCAACGUUAUCAGUGACGGUACGAGAGAGGGAUAGCAAAGAUCAGGUCCGGGUAGAUGUGGAGAAGGUAGCGUCAGUUGUGAGGGAAGUGACUGAUGGAUUGAGCUCUUGGGCAGAUGUUUUGAAGAUGUAUCCUCUACAUUCUUCAGAGACUGCAGAGGAGUGAAUCAUCAAAUGAUGAUAGCAUUUAUACCAUUUUUAUCACUUUCAGAAACUCUUAUCCCUUGUCCUGACUUCAGGAAUUUUUAUAGACCUAUUUAACUUCUUUUAAUUUGAAACCCUUAAUUUUACUUCUUUGCCCUGUCUAUUUACUUAAAAGCUAGAAAGUGAUCUGAUCUUGUUGGUCUUGGUCAAUAAGGAGCUCAAAUUGGUGUUAAUUUUCCUCCUCUAUGCUCUUUUUGGUGAUUGUAAUUAAUGAUUGGUUUGUGAGUUUAAUCUCUUUGUAAAUAUAGUAGGGUUCUUUGAUGUUUCAAUAUAUAAAAUUUUUUAUCAUGUUUCUUCUUAUUUAUUUCUUGUAUUUGAUCUGAAUCUGAUGCAAAUUCCCAAAGGAUUGUCAAUUGAAAUUGAUUG
rnacentral:misc_RNA from 1 species